rnacentral:rRNA from 1 species
UCGAGAAUCUUUAGCAAUGGACGAAAGUCUGACUAUGCGACGCCGCGUGAGGGAUGAAGGUCUUCGGAUUGUAAACCUCUUUCGAUUGGGAAGAAAAUACUUGACGUGAAUAACGUCAAGUGCUGACGUUACCAAGAGAAGAAGCCACGGCCAACUCCGUGCCAGCAGCCGCGGUAAUACGGAGGUGGCAAGCGUUACUCGGAUUUAUUGGGUGUAAAGGGCAGGUAGGUGUCCUGAAAAGUGGGAGGUGAAAUCCUUCGAUUCAAUUGAAGAAUUGCCUUCCAAACUAUCAGGAUUGAGUGUGAGAGAGGAAAGCGGAACUCUCGGUGUAAGGGUGAAAUCUGUAGAGAUCGAGAGGAACACCAAUAGCGAAGGCAGCUUUCUGGAUCACAACUGACGC